rnacentral:rRNA from 1 species
AACGAACGCUGGCGGCAGGCCUAACACAUGCAAGUCGAGCGAACCCUUCGGGGUUAGCGGCGGACGGGUUAGUAACGCGUGGGAAUAUACCCUUUGGACGGAAUAGCCUCGGGAAACUGAGAGUAAUACCGUAUGUGCCCUUGGGGGAAAGAUUUAUCGCCAAAGGAUUAGCCCGCGUUGGAUUAGAUAGUUGGUGGGGGUAAUGGCCUACCAAGUCUACGAUCCAUAGCUGGUUUGAGAGGAUGAUCAGCAACACUGGGACUGAGACACGGCCCAGACUCCUACGGGAGGCAGCAGUGGGGAAUCUUAGACAAUGGGCGCAAGCCUGAUCUAGCCAUGCCGCGUGGACGAUGAAGGCCUUAGGGUUGUAAAGUCCUUUCAGAUGGGAAGAUAAUGACGGUACCAUCAGAAGAAGCCCCGGCUAACUCCGUG